rnacentral:snRNA from 1 species
GUACGAGGACUAUAUGGCUGUGACAUCUAUCACCCCACAGUGGUUAGGCUGAUGAGUCCAGCUGAGAAGGCAUCUCUUUCUCCCACCCUGUUCCUUGUGCGCUCCUCCUAAAGCAUCACAGUAGCUCAAAAAGGAUGCUAUUCCCAAAUGGAGGAGAAUCUGUCUUCAGCCAAAGGUAUAUGAGAAACUGCACUCCCCCGGUAGUACCCCCAAGCAAGCUCUCAAAUAUUUAAAACUCAGAGAUUCCUGUGAUACCCUUUUAUGGCACACAGAGCUACAAUUUAGGGUUU